rnacentral:pre_miRNA from 1 species
CCAGGUUGAGGUAGUAGGUUGUAUAGUUUAGAAUUACAUCAAGGGAGAUAACUGUACAGCCUCCUAGCUUUCCUUG